rnacentral:siRNA from 1 species
UCCCAAACCCUCUUGCCUCUUGCA